rnacentral:rRNA from 1 species
AUUGAACGCUGGCGGCAGGCUUAACACAUGCAAGUCGAGCGGGGGAAGGUAGCUUGCUACUGGACCUAGCGGCGGACGGGUGAGUAAUGCUUAGGAAUCUGCCUAUUAGUGGGGGACAACAUCUCGAAAGGGAUGCUAAUACCGCAUACGUCCUACGGGAGAAAGCAGGGGAUCUUCGGACCUUGCGCUAAUAGAUGAGCCUAAGUCGGAUUAGCUAGUUGGUGGGGUAAAGGCCUACCAAGGCGACGAUCUGUAGCGGGUGUGAGAGGAUGAUCCGCCACACUGGGACUGAGACACGGCCCAGACUCCUACGGGAGGCAGCAGUGGGGAAUAUUGGACAAUGGGGGGAACUCUGAUCCAGCCAUGCUGCGUGUGUGAAGAAGGCCUUAUGGUUGUAAAGCACUUUAAGCGAGGAGGAGGCUACUUUAGUUAAUACCUAGAGAUAGUGGACGUUACUCGCAGAAUAAGCACCGGCUAACUCUGUGCCAGCCGCCGCAGUAA